UUUGAAUUGUGCCUGGAAACAGACUGGCAGCCAUUAUGAAGUUGUUGCAUCAAGGGAGUUGUGUGUGUGCUCUCUGUACUGUUAGGCUGCAGUUCUUUGGAGCAGCUGGAAAAUAUACAAUAGAAGCAUCAUGUCUGACUUGGGGGGGAACUAGGAACAAUGCAAAGGCUCCCCCAGGCUCUUAAGGGCAAGCUAGUAAAUGUUUUGUGUUUGAAAAUUGCAAUCAUCCUUUUGCUGCUUCUUUUUCAGUUCUGUGUCCUCCUGCCUGCGAAGGAGCCGCCACGGUCUUCAACUGCUCCACCUGCCGCCGGAGAGAUGUGCCCUGCUGGGACCUCAAGACCUGCUACCCGGAGCGAAAAGGCUUACUAAAGGUUGUCACACUUCUGUGCUCCAUUUCUGGCUCCUGCCUCUUCCUGGGACUGGUUUCAUGCGCCUUGGAAUUUUGGCUCCGUCCGGGGAUCGAAACACAGUAGGUGCCCAAACAGGACAAGAAGGAUUCUGCAAUUGCAUCCCCAAGAGAGCUUUCUUCUUUGGCUGAAAGAAUUGGGAAUGUAUACGUGUGGAAAUGUCACAGGUGAUACUGUGGCCAUCGGUUCCAUAAGUUCUCCCUAAAUCAAGAAACUGAAUAGGGCCGUGCUCAAAGAGAGUGUUUGCAAAGGCAUCUGUGAGCAAAAUAAGUGAUGCUGCUUUCAAAAGUGGCACAAAGGUUCACAAGGAAACAUUUAAGUGAAUGCAUAUUGCUGAAUGUGUAAAACUGUGCCGUGGGGAAUGCGUGGCUGCAUGAGGCUAGAUUGCUUCAUGUAUGCAGCUCUUUGCAACGCACUGCAACAUUCCAGGACUAGUUUGUGUUCUGCAUUUCUGCAUUUCUGAUGCAAAAGGCAUUAGCGCCGCUACAUGCGCCUAAUCAACCUCCUGCGUGGGAGGAAAGAAGCAAACGUGUUAACGGACUCAAAGGAAAAGGCCAUACGCAUCAUCUCCCUGGUGCAGCAUGUCAGCAGAGGCGCCAUAACUGUGGAAAAGAGCUCUUAUAUAACAGUCAGCUGCCCUUUGUUUGUGUUGCCUUAUUAAAGGCUGAUUUUAAAACUUCCACUUCCCACAUUUCUCACUUUAGUUGUCACAGAUG